AUUGAACGCUGGCGGCAGGCUUAACACAUGCAAGUCGAGCGGGGUGAUGGUGCUUGCACUAUCACUUAGCGGCGGACGGGUGAGUAAUGCUUAGGAAUCUGCCUAUUAGUGGGGGACGACAUCUCGAAAGGGAUGCUAAUACCGCAUACGUCCUACGGGAGAAAGCAGGGGAUCACUUGUGACCUUGCGCUAAUAGAUGAGCCUAAGUCGGAUUAGCUAGUUGGUGGGGUAAAGGCCUACCAAGGCGACGAUCUGUAGCGGGUCUGAGAGGAUGAUCCGCCACACUGGGACUGAGACACGGCCCAGACUCCUACGGGAGGCAGCAGUGGGGAAUAUUGGACAAUGGGCGGAAGCCUGAUCCAGCCAUGCCGCGUGUGUGGAGAAGGCCUUAUGGUUGUAAAGCACUUUAAGCGAGGAGGAGGCUCUUUUGGUUAAUACCCAAGAUGAGUGGACGUUACUCGCAGAAUAAGCACCGGCUAACUCUGUGCCAGCCGCCGCGGUAA
rnacentral:rRNA from 1 species